rnacentral:rRNA from 1 species
AUGAACGCUGGCGGCGUGCCUAACACAUGCAAGUCGAACGGGACUAUCAAGUGAUGUUUUCGGACUGAACUUUUAGUUAGUGGCGGACGGGUGAGUAACGCGUGGACAACCUGCCUCUCACUGGGGGAUAGCAGCUGGAAACGGCUGGUAAUACCGCAUGCGUUCAAUGUGCCGCAUGACACAUUGAAGAAAGAUUUAUCGGUGAGAGAUGGGUCCGCGUCUGAUUAGCCAGUUGGCGGGGUAACGGCCCACCAAAGCGACGAUCAGUAGCCGGCCUGAGAGGGCGGACGGCCACAUUGGGACUGAGACACGGCCCAGACUCCUACGGGAGGCAGCAGUGGGGGAUAUUGCACAAUGGGCGCAAGCCUGAUGCAGCGACGCCGCGUGAGUGAAGAAGUAUUUCGGUAUGUAAAGCUCUAUCAGCAGGGAAGAAAGGCCCGCAAGGGAGAUGACGGUACCUGACUAAGAAGCCCCGGCUAACUACGUGCCAGCAGCUGC